CGCCUCUUGAUUAAACCAUAAGAGGUCCAGCCUGCCCAGUGACUUUGUUCAACGGCCGCGGUAUCCUAACCGUGCGAAGGUAGCGUAAUCACUUGUCCUUUAAAUGAGGACUAGUAUGAAUGGCAUCACGAAGGCUAUACUGUCUCCUUUUUCUAAUCAGUUAAACUAAUCUCCCCGUGAAGAAGCGGGGAUAAACAUACAAGACGAGAAGACCCUAUGGAGCUUCAAACAACUAAAACACUUGCACCUCUAUUUACUUACGUAAACCUACACUUAACUCCACAUUUUGUUUUUAGUUUUAGGUUGGGGUGACCGCGGAGAAAAAACUAACCUCCACGCUGAAAGAGGUUGUACCUCUAAACAAAAAGCUACAUCUUUAUGUAUUAACACAUUAACUUUAAUUGACCCAAUUAAUUGAUCAACGAACCAAGUUACCCUAGGGAUAACAGCGCAAUCCAUUUCAAGAGCUCUUAUCGACAAAUGGGUUUACGACCUCGAUGUUGGAUCAGGGUAUCCCAGUGGUGCAGCCGCUACUAAUGGUUCGUUUGUUCAACGAUUAAAACCCU
rnacentral:rRNA from 1 species